GAUCCGGAUAUGCACUUGAGUCCCAAUCCACAGGCCCCUACUCAGCCAACCUGCCAGAACUUCUGUAGAAUGGGAAAGAGGGAACAGGGCUGGACGCUAAUCGCUAAUCCGCAGGCAGUUUCCAGAUGACACAGUUAAGGCGCGUUCCUUGAGAAAACGCUGAAGGGUCAAAUAAAACGCUUCACAGAGCUGCCUGGCAUCCCGCCCCGACGCUCUGCGGCGGCAUCUCCCUUCCGCCCUCCGUGCUGCUCUCCGCGCCCUUCCCGCCGCCCGCUCACAAAAUGGAAGUCGUGGGGCAUCGACGCGCGUUCCUCUGCGUCUCCCGGCGUGACGUUAUUCCUUCUCCCCGUUUGUUUGGCUCCCUCUAUCCAACCACCAGCCCAGACAUGCUUCUUGAGCACCUGCUGUGUGGCCCGCUUUGUCCGGGCUGGGGAAGUACACGAAUGAGCCGAACAGGUGCUACCCUCUGGGGGCUCACUCUCUAGAAGCACAACGCAUGUAGAAUUUCCUUAUAAAAAUCCAAGGGGGAUAAACAAGCAAAUUCAGCAGGGAUCUCACUCACCAGGGAAAUGCAACCCAAACUACAGAGCGAUAUCACUCCUGCCCGUCAGCACGGCUACAAUGAACAACCCAAGAAGCAGGAGGCUUGGCAGGAGGUGGGGAGGGGGCCUCUUACACCGUGGUGGGGGCGCAAACUAGUUCGGCUGAUAAUAGCUCCACAAGGGCAGUAGCCUAAGUGUCCAUCACUGAUGAAUGGAUAAAGAAGACGAGGUGUGUAUCUACAACGGAAUGCUAGUCACGAAAAAAGAAUGAAGUCUUGGGGCACCUGGGUGUCCGACUUUGGCUCAGGACAUGAUCUC